ACAAAUUUCGUUAAUUACCACUCACCAACACAAGUUCCAAAGGCCUGUAUGUAAUCGAAUCUCCCCUCAUGCUUCUCAUGUUCUUAAUUUAUUAUGACACAUCCUUUGUUUCUUGCACUGGCCACCGUCAUGACAUUCACAGUUGAUGAAAUGGAUGAUUGAUCUGAACGGUCUCGAAGUUCAGAUUGAUGGUGUGAUUUCCAUUGUCGAAAUUGUCAUUAAUGCAAACCAGCUCUUGGCUCUGUAGAGGCAAAGUUCUUACUGGAUUUUGGCGUGUUGCAACAUCCAAUAAGCCUGUGGGGUAAGUCUUAUCAAUCUAAAGUCUUGCAACAACAAAUCAUUUUGCUGCAUGAAAAUUGCAGUCUUUAUUGUAAUUUCAGGCAUAAUGCAUCAAUUUCAAGUACUCACAGGAUUGUGUGGUAAAGAUUGAAGACUUGGCAGCAAGCGAAACCUCCCAUGUUGUCUAGUUUUAUUAACCCCCUUCAGAUGCUCCUGCAAACCUCUUAAAUCUUAUUUCAUAAGCAAACUAAGGAAAACGAGUAAAAUGCAAG
rnacentral:lncRNA from 1 species